rnacentral:rRNA from 1 species
CCUACGGGUGGCAGCAGUGGGGGAUAUUGCACAAUGGAGGAAACUCUGAUGCAGCGACGCCGCGUGAGGGAAGACGGUCUUCGGAUUGUAAACCUCUUUUGUCAGGGAGCAAAGUCACCCACGUGUGGGUGUUGGAGAGUACCUGAAGAAAAAGCAUCGGCUAACUCCGUGCCAGCAGCCGCGGUAAUACGGAGGAUGCGAGCGUUAUCCGGAUUUAUUGGGUUUAAAGGGUGCGUAGGCGGGUUAUCAAGUCAGCAGUAAAAUCGUGGAGCUCAACUCCAUCCAGCCGUUGAAACUGAUGAUCUUGAGUGGGCGAGAAGUAUGCGGAAUGCGUGGUGUAGCGGUGAAAUGCAUAGAUAUCACGCAGAACUCCGAUUGCGAAGGCAGCAUACCGGCGCCCGACUGACGCUGAAGCACGAAAGCGUGGGUAUCGAACAGGAUUAGAUACCCCUGUAGUC